ensembl:lncRNA
AGAUACCAGCACACUCCGGUUUGCGGUUGGUCCCCGCGAGCUUUGUCGAGGCUCAGGCACGAUGGUGGGGCGAGGCCCACGAGCGCCUUCUCUGGCCCUACAUCCAGGUCCGAAAAAUGCGAAGUAGCCUGUGGCUGUUUGUGAGGCAAACUUACUGAACCAGUACUGGUGAUAUUGCACCACUAUGAAUAUUUCGAGGACUUGCUGAUUCAUGUUUGCAUCUCUAAUGCCUACUGAAAUCUGAGUACCUGUUCAUUCAUUCAUUCAAGAAUUAUUCGUUGAUAGCCUGUAAUAUACCAGGAGAACACUGUGGCGUAGCUGUGCACAUCAGGCCAAUUUCCAGAUUUCAGGGACUUUUACUUUUUCUGAUGAGUCUCCAGAUGAAAACUCAGCUUAGCUGAUACCUUCACUUCUACCUCGUGAUACGCUGACUAGAGGAGCCAGUCACACCAUGCCUGAUGUCAAAACUACAGAAUUCCAGCUGAUAUCAGAACUGAUCUUUCUUGGAACUGGCCUUGCUAAUGGAAUUCAUAUGGUUUGCUCAGAUAAGUAAUUCUUUGGGGAAAACUCAUUAUAAGCAAAAUACUUGAAAAGAUAUGAGAAAGGGCAACAGUUGGGCUAUAAAAACAGAGUUUAUAUUUUUGCACGGAAAAAAUUUUAUGGUCCUAGCAUUUUACUCGUUCCCAAAUUAUCUGAUUGUAUUAUUCCAGCGGCUAAAUAUAAAGAUUUCCUUGUUAUCAAACUCUCAAAUCUUGAGAAGGAUCAAUCUUAAAAAAAUCCUUUUUCUUCUCCUUCUCCUCCUUCUUCUCUUCUCUCACUCCUUCCCCUUCUUUUUGUAUGUCUGUUUGCAAGAUGAAUAUAGACUGUUCCAGAAAAUUCUUAUUAAAAACUGUGUGGAAUAGGCAAGAGCUGAUGGGUUAUAAGCAAUUGGAUAUCUGGGCCUUAGUGUUUCCUGCAUGGAGGUGAAUUCCUUUGGCCACACCAGCCGUCCUGUAUUGUUUAUUACAGUCUGUAACCUCUCCCUUCAGCUAAAGGGGCAAAUUCAUGAAGGAGUUCACAGAGCUCUUCUGAUUUUUGAGGCAUUUAAGGCCAGCUAGAAUACACUUUAUUCAGCGUAAUUACACUUUUAAUUCAUAAGACUUAUAUAUUCAGGUGAAAACUGGCAGUUAAGAAGCCUCAGAGGCAGGGUUUAGAUUUUGAUUGUCAUUUACCACUGCUAGAAAGAAAUUGCAUCCUAGUGGGGUCGUAUCUCAAUGAAAACAAACCUUUCUCUUCCAUAGCACAUUGAUCAAAAGAAAGCUCAAGGUUACAAGGAUUCUCUGAAGUCCAUUGACUCUUUGCUGCUAAUUAGUAGCACAACUUAUUUGAGCAAAUUGAGAAUUUUGAUACCUACUUUGACUUGCUUUUAAUAUUGCUCUAAUUUCCCAUGAACAUGUUUUUGUUCUAAACUUGAUGCGGACAAAUGUACAAACUGUGGAUAGGCCAGUCUUAUUUAUUUAUUAAACAAAGUUAUGUUUUUAUUAGGUUUGGAAUUCACUUCUAGGCAGUUAAAAGAAAGGGGUUAUUAGUACCUUCCUUCUAAGGCCAUUUUGAAAUUUUAUGAAAAAAAAAAAGUAUGUGGUACAAAAUUGAUCUGGGUAUACAGCGGGUGAACUGAUUCUAAUCCUACUCUGUGUAUGGAACUAGAUCAAUUUCCCGGUGCUGGCUGUGGGCUUGGGAUGGUAUAUUUAUCUGGUGUUGGAGUCUAGUAAUAUCUUGUAUGCUUUUCCUAUCUGUGUGCUCUCUGGAACAAGUAACCUAGAGAGAGUGUGCCAUUGAGUGGGCUGUCAGAGAUGAAGCUAAGAAAUAGUCAACACCUUGACUUUGCUUAUUUCCUCAGUGUGAAUCAACUGGGGUGGCAGAAAAGGAUAAAAGCAGUGUGUCAGUGAGAGAACUACAGUUUCAUCCCCUGCUUUGGAGACAUUAUUCCCAAUAGCCUAGAGAUUUGUCAGUGACUUGGUAGAGCAUGAAUUCAGGUAUGUGCAUUAAUUAAACUUCCUUUUUGAAGAAUCUCCUCAGUGACUUCUAGACCUAGAAAUCUGCUGCUCCAAGUAAACCAUAGAUUUACACCAGAUCUUGACAUGUAAGACCAUCUAGCAUAAGAUGCUAAAAUAUAGUUUGGUCGUUUGCUUUGUAGUAGAAAUAGUCAUUGUAUCAUGAAUUCAUAUUUGCUAAGACUUGGGAAAUCUUUUGGUUAAGAUUUCCUCAGCCUGUUUGCUGCUACUGAAUUUUUUUUUUUCUUUUGGUUCAGCAAAGGCGAACUCCUUUAGGUCCUAUGACUAAUUUCCCCACAUCCAGAGAUUAUCUAAUGAGUUCCUUAGAAAACUUUGGAACAAAAUUAAUCCAAGAUUUACUGGGUGACUAAUCAUAUCUCUGGGGAAAUAAGCUGGCCCUUAGUUUACUGGUUAGUUGCAAAGAAUCCUGGCAAUGAAUAGAAACAAGGAUAAACAUCUAUUAUUUAAAAAAUUCAGAUGCUCUUGAUGUCCAUAUAAGACAUAUCCUCAGUUUCAAAUUUUCUUCCUAAAGCAUGACGUCUCUUCCUUGGCCAUCAUGAUUUAUCUGUUGAUAAAAUUUACCCUGUGUAUUCAUGAGAAUAUGAUUUAUAAAAGUUAAGAUAUAUACUGGAUCUUUAGCAUAUAAAAGCUUCUAAUGGAUUUUUUUUUGGAAGAGUAACUGUGAAAAGGAAGUUUGUUUAGAGCAGGAGUUGAGAAAACGUAUGGAAUAAAAGAAAGCAUAAGAUCGCCAGGUUCAUCUAUUUCAGAUUUUGAUGCAUCAGAGGAAAAUCAAUAUGGGUUCCAGAAGGCGUUUUAAGUAAUAAAAGGAUAUUACAUUUUUUUCCAUCAGAUAUUGUCAAAUUUGUGCUUACAUAAUGCUUCAAACAUUUUGAAAGAAUAGAGAAUGCUAUGAAAAAAAAAAAAAACAAAAA